UCACCACCAGAUACAACAUCAUAUGGUCUAUGUGUAUUAGAAAGAUGUGGUGGACUAGGAGUAGAGUGGGGAGAUUGGAUAUUUGUAGGUAUUUGAGAGGUGGGAGCAUGAAUUGUAGACAUUUGUGGACUUGGAGUAGAGAGGAAAGGUGGGAAAUUUGUAAAUGUUUGAGAUAUGGGAUGAUGUUUCGGUUGCCUUGUAGGUUGUGGAAGUUGGAUAUUUGAAGGUGUGUUAGAUGUAAGAUGAUGUGUAGGUUUCCUUGUAGAGUGGGGUUGUUGGGUAUUUGUAGGUAUUUGAGAAGUGGGAGCAUGGACAGUAGACAUUUGUGGACUUGAAGUAGAGAGGAAAGGUGGGAAGUUUGUAUGUGUUUGAGAUAUGGGAUGAUGUGUAGGUUGCUUUGUAAAUAGGGAUUGUUGGAUAUUUGAAGGUGUUUUAGAUGUAAGAUGAUGUGUAGGUUUCCUUGUAGAGUGGGGUUGUUGGGUAUUUGUAGGUAUUUGAGAAGUGGGAGCAUGGACAGUAGACAUUUGUGGACUUGAAGUAGAGAGGAAAGGUGGGAAGUUUGUAUGUGUUUGAGAUAUGGGAUGAUGUGUAGGCUGCUUUGUAGAUAGGGAUUGUUGGAUAUUUGAAGGUGUUUUAGAUGUAAGAUGAUGUGUAGGUUUCAUUGUAGAGUGGGGUUGUUGGGUAUUUGUAGGUAUUUGAGAAGUGGGAGCAUGGACAGUAGACAUUUGUGGACUUGAAGUAGAGAGGAAAGGUGGGAAGUUAGUAUGUGUUUGAGAUAUGGGAUGAUGUGUAGGUUGCUUUGUAGAUAGGGAUUGUUGGGUGUCUGCAGGCCUAGGUGCUUGUAAUCUAGAAGAAUGCGACAAAGUAGUUUUAUGCUUACCUCCCUUAUUUCCCUUAACUUUGUUGAUGCUUAUACCAGCACCUCUUCCAC
rnacentral:lncRNA from 1 species